AGUGAACGCUGGCGGUAGGCCUAACACAUGCAAGUCGAACGGCAGCACAGUAAGAGCUUGCUCUUACGGGUGGCGAGUGGCGGACGGGUGAGGAAUACAUCGGAAUCUACUUUUUCGUGGGGGAUAACGUAGGGAAACUUACGCUAAUACCGCAUACGACCUACGGGUGAAAGCAGGGGAUCUUCGGACCUUGCGCGAUUGAAUGAGCCGAUGUCGGAUUAGCUAGUUGGCGGGGUAAAGGCCCACCAAGGCGACGAUCCGUAGCUGGUCUGAGAGGAUGGUCAGCCACACUGGAACUGAGACACGGUCCAGACUCCUACGGGAGGCAGCAGUGGGGAAUAUUGGACAAUGGGCGCAAGCCUGAUCCAGCCAUACCGCGUGGGUGAAGAAGGCCUUCGGGUUGUAAAGCCCUUUUGUUGGGAAAGAAAAGCAGCAGGUUAAAACCCCGCUGUUCUGACGGUACCCAAAGAAUAAGCACCGGCUAACUUCGUG
rnacentral:rRNA from 1 species